CGCUGUAUGCCAGUGCUAAGUGUUUCACAUUUCUAUGUGUAAUCUGCAUAGCCAUCCACUUAGCUCCAUGAUCUCCCAGCAACAGGCAGGCUAGACUCGUGAUGUACUCAAGAUGGCAUAGUCUAUUACCACCAGCAGGAAGGAAAGGGUACAAAAAGGACCCUCCUGAAGGAAGAGGAAUCCUCAGGAUGCUCAGGCCAUGUGGACAUCCCACCAGGAUGGUUACUUCCACGUCAAUGUGAAGAGUCAAUUAAUGCAUGUCAAUCAAGUAUGAAGGUCACAAAAUAAACAAAGAGAAGUCAAACUCAUGCAUUCAUUGGACCUUUAAGAACCAAGGGUAAAUUUCGUGGAAUGUAUAAGGUUUCUUCAGUGAGCCAUAGCCGUCUUCUUCUGGGUCUGUUAGCCUUCCAUUCAAGUCUACAAGCAUGCUUUUAUUCUUAGCACACUUUGACACAGAAGCAUUACAAGAAUGUAUUCCUUCUAUGUUUAUCCUAAUUCAUGUGAUAAUCUACAUACCAUAUUCUCUUUCCCUGCCUCCUCUUAUGCAUGUACAACUGGAACAUAUUCAAGCCUUGAUGUCAUCUUCAGUCUUAUAAUUUAUUAGUAUACUUUGGCUUAACUGCUGAAGCUAUUGAGGUACACAGGCAUUUGAGGAAAAAAUGUGGCGAUCUCAAAAAGAUUUCUUGACUUUUUUAGUAUUUAAGAUCUUAACAAAGGUUAAUGUAGUAUCAGUUCCAAAAAAGUAAUUAAGAUCUUAAGGAAAUGGCUAUAAUUAUAAUUUCUUCAGGAUGACUUCAAUGCAAAUUCAGCCAAGCAAUUUUUCACAUCUUGUGAUUUAGAUUAAAAAUAAUGCUUCUAUUUAACAAAAGACGUCAAUAACGGAAUACAAAAAGACAUGAACCAAUUUAAUCUGCCCCAUAGGAGGCAAAUGAAAGCCUCAUCUCUUUUCUUUCUCCCAAGACUAAUAGACUUGGAAAGUAGGUCUUGUGAGAAGCUUCACUUGCAUUAUUAAAAUGGGCAUCUAAAAUUGAAAAUAAAGGUUUUCUUAGAAAUAUUAAUGUGCUAAUGACUGCAAUUUUAGAGCACAAAUGAAAAUAUCUUAUCGUUCCAAUGCCUGUUUUCAUUUUUGUAUCACCUUUUAAAAAAUGCCACAGUGCAUUUCAAAAAUAUGCAAGGCAAUAGCAUUAAGAGAAGUAAAUUGGAGAAAACGGAAAAGGAGCAUCUGCUAUGUGAUCAGAAUCUCUCAUGAAUACCGGUAAUAGGGUGAAAAAAAAAAAAAAAAAAGAAGUUUGCUGUUGUUUAUCGAGGGCAUUGUCAGCCAUCCUUUUUAUAUGCUUUUUAAUCCAUCCUGACAAUAAAUUGCUAAGUUAAGCACUAUCCCGUUUUAUAUAGGAGAAAAACGGUGGCCAGAAGAUUUUUGGUUAAUUAUUUGUACAAGGUCACAAACAGGUAAACUGCAGUUCAGGACCUAAUCCCAGAGAUCUUCAAGUAAAAGAAUUUUUUUUAUGAAUAUCAGUGCAUACCAGUGCACAUGAAUCUUUGUCAAGAUUGUUAAAGGGCAGUGAAUAAGAAAGGAAUAUUCAGCACAAUAAUGUGAUAUCAGAACAAUUUUUAAAAGAUAUUCAAGUAUAGAUUACAGUAAUGCAAUGAAGUUGAUAAGUAGUUAUUUUCCAAAUACAAUUUUGCCUGUUUUUCCUAUGACCUAAAUGUAUAAUAUGAAAGUAAAUAUGACAAGAUUUUUAAAAUUGUUUUUCAGAAAGUGAGACUAUCAUCUUCACCUGUUUCCUGAAGUUGUUUAGGGGAUUUUCUUGGAAUGAUUAUUUUCAUUUCAAUUUUCAAUAGUAAUUAAAGUAUUGCUGUACCCAAUGGGAUAUGACUUGAUAACACAGAGACUCUUUCACCUUCAUGAUUCUAUGGUAUAUCAUUACAAAUCACACAAUCUAUAAUUUUUUAAAAAUCAAAAACUUAAAAUAUUUCACUUAAUGAAUCAUCACUGUAAGGAAAAGUUUUCCUCAUGCUGUUUUUUUAUGCCUUUACUUGUUAAUCAUAGCUAUAGUUUUUUGUUUGUUUGUUUUACAGUUUAUUCCAUAGUUAUCCCAUUAAACCUACCCUAUAGGAAGCAGAACAAUUAGUUAAAAUAUAUAUUGACAUGAUACAUGCAACUGUUUUAUGUCUGGGAAUAUUUAUAAAUCAGUAAGACCAAUAAGUUAUGUGCUGAGGGUGUGCACAUGACAAUGCAGGAGGCAGGCAAUACAAGAAAAUGAACUACUGUACAAAUGGAUAAAUGAUACAACUUACUUAGUGAAGAAUUCUAUUAUUCAAAAGUUGAAUUAGGUGAGGGCAUUGAGACUGAUGGAGAUAAUCAGUAGUGAUUAUUUUAGUUAAGAAAAAUCUGGAUAGCUUCACAGAGAUGACACCAUGUGUUUGGAUGCCUGAAUACUCUGGGGCAAGCCAUAUGUGGGGAAAUACUAGCAAACAAAAGGCAGGUGCCACACAUAAAGAAGACAAAAGUGUAUCAUUCCUGAAAGCCCAAAGAAUAAAAUAAGGAGAGAUAAACAUCAAAACCCUCAUAAGAAGGAAAGGGGGACAAAUUAUUCUCAUAAACUGAUGGCUGGCUUUUUUAUUUCCCCCAUUGAUUACCUACUAUAUUUAGGCAUUAACUCAAAUUCUGAACCAAUGAAGACAGGGAAAAAAAAAAAAAAACUUCAUAAGAAAAAAAAUGCAACACAGGUAGAAAGAGUAAUGAGAGAAAUUAACUUGUAGAUUGUAUAAAAAUUGUCUGGAUAUCCUUCUGUGCACACAGUAAUUUGUCUAAUGUCUUCACAACCAGGUAGAUGUGGUCAUGCGGUUUGACUCUGAAUAAUGGAAUUGAGGUAGAAAUGAAAUGAUGUAUGAUACUUCCAAGGCUUGUCCAGUAAACUCUUGUUCUGGAUCUUCCAUGCCUUUUUUUUUUUAAAGGCCUUUGAAAAGGAGAUGAUUCCAGGACAACCUUGGAAGUUACAUGUUUUAGAUGAUAGGGCUAGGAGGUAAAAUAAGUCUGAGUUUUUGAAUCACCACCAGGAGGUGACCUGCCCAACCAGGAUAACCAACUUUAGAUGGUUAUGUGCCAUUGCGAUUUGGAGGUUUAUCUGUUUGAGCAGGUAGUGCUAAUAGAAGUAGCCCAAUUGCUAGAAUCAAUAUGAGUAAAAAGACAACUGCAACAAAGGGAAUCUGUCAUUGUAGAAUAUACAGUACACCAGGAAUUGAAUACAAAAUAUUGUGAAUGCUUUAUGUCGGUAGUGGGUUAUGUGCCAGCGAUACAAAGAUGAUUGAGGCUUGAUCCCUGCUUUUGUUGUGUUUAUAGAUUAAAAAUAAAAAGUUGUAGUGUCCAUAUAGUACUCUCCAGAUGAACUCCUGUUCAGUCUCUUUCUUGUGCAUAUCUCAAGUACAGAGCUAUGAACAAGGUGAGUAUAUCUAAUUCUCAUUACUCUCUGUACCGGUUUGUAUAUAUUAUGUCCCCCAGAAAAAGUCAUGUUCUUUGAUGCAGUCUUGUUGGGGGAGAUGUAUUAGUGUUGAUUAAGUUGGAACCUUCAGAUUAGGUUGUUUCCAUGGAGAUG